CCCUUAGAUGUUCUGGGCCGCACGCGCGCUACACUGAUGAAUGCAACGAGCUCUACCCUUGACCGAAAGGCCCGGGUAAACUUGUGAAACUUCAUCGUGAUGGGGAUAGAUUAUUGCAAUUAUUAAUCUUCAACGAGGAAUUCCUAGUAAGCGCGAGUCAUCAGCUCGCGUUGAUUACGUCCCUGCCCUUUGUACGCACCGCCCGUCGCUCCUACCGAUUGAAUGGUCCGGUGAAAUCUUCGGAUUGCUGACCAAGAUCCAGCAAUGGAGCUUGGUUGCGAGAAGUUGAUUAAACCUUAUUAUUUAGAGGAAGGAGAAGUCGUAACA
rnacentral:rRNA from 1 species